rnacentral:rRNA from 1 species
UACGGAUUGGGCUAGCGAUGUUCGGAAUUACUGGGCGUAAAGAGCGCGUAGGCGUCUUACCAAGUUGGGGGUGAAAUCCCGGAGCUCAACUCCGGAACUGCCUUCAAAACUGGUAGGCUCGAGUCCGGAAGAGGGGCGUGGAAUUCCCAGUGUAGAGGGGAAAUUCGUAGAUACUGGGAAGAACGCCGGUGGCGAAGGCGGCGCCCUUGUCCGGUACUGACGCUGAGGCGCGAAAGCGUGGGGAGCAAACAGG